UCGUGUCAUUCAAGUGACUAAAGUUGCUGGAAGUGCAGCUCUUCAAUUUAUUAAAAAGUUGUAACCGAAUAUUUAGAGCUUCUGAAACUUGAAGCUUUUUUCAUAAAAUUUUUUAUUGAAACAUCAAAACAAUGGUUAAAUUCACUUUCUUGCUACAUAUUUUGAUGACAUUGGCAUUGACGAUAGCUGUAUUCGCGACAGCAGUAUCCGCCGAUUGUGAGCCAAAGUGCCGUCCAGGUUAUCAUUGUGAGGGCAACUUAUGGAGGCCGGGCACAUUAGUAUGCAUACCGGAUGGCGCAAUGCAAUGAGAGCCAUUAUCUCUUGAGUUUUAAUGAAACGCCCAAUUCAUUUUAUCAAAAGUAAAAUGUUCCUUUCAAUAAACUAAUAAACGGA